UACAGAGGGGGCAAGCGUUGUUCGGAAUUAUUGGGCGUAAAGAGCUCGUAGGCGGUCUGUUGCGUCGGCUGUGAAAACCCGGGGCUCAACUCCGGGCCUGCAGCCGAUACGGGCAGACUAGAGUUCGGCAGGGGAGACUGGAAUUCCUGGUGUAGCGGUGAAAUGCGCAGAUAUCAGGAGGAACACCGGUGGCGAAGGCGGGUCUCUGGGCCGAUACUGACGCUGAGGAGCGAAAGCGUGGGGAGCGAACAGG
rnacentral:rRNA from 1 species